rnacentral:rRNA from 1 species
UACGUAGGGGGCAAGCGUUGUCCGGAAUCAUUGGGCGUAAAGAGCGUGUAGGCGGCCCGGUAAGUCCGCUGUGAAAGUCCAGGGCUCAACCCUGGGAUGCCGGUGGAUACUGUCGGGCUCGAGUCCGGAAGAGGAGUGUGGAAUUCCUGGUGUAGCGGUGGAAUGCGCAGAUAUCAGGAGGAACACCGGUGGCGAAGGCGG